GCGGCUGUAGCUCAAUGGUUGAGCACCGCACUGUGGAUGCGGAUGCUGCGGGUUCGACCCCCGUCAGCCGCCCCA
rnacentral:tRNA from 1 species